CAUCUCCUAGUUUCUUAAACGGAAGCUUACAAUUUUUCAUUUUCAGUCUUCCCUCUUUUCUAAGUCUAGGGUAUAAAUUUCCCUUAGGCACUACUUUAGCUUCACUAGAAGAAUUUAGUUAUAUACCACAUCUUUAUUAUCAUUCUUUACAAUAUUUUCUAAUUUUUAAAUUUUAUUCCAGAUUGAGGUACUGUUUUGGCAGGAUGUUUCUUAACUUUUCCAAAUAGGGAUGGCUGCCCUAUAUUUAUUUAUUAAUUAUUAUUUUUAUUCCACUGUGGUCAGAGUAAAUACUCUGUAUGAAUUCAUUUCUCUGAAAGUUUUUAUCAUAUGCUCAUUAUUAUUAUUUUUUGGUCUUUUGUCUUUUUACGGCCACAACCACGGCAUAUGCAGGUUCCCAGGCUUGGGGUCGAAUUGGAGCUAUAGCCGCGAGCCUAUGCCAUAGCCACAGCAAUGCCAGAUCUGAGCUGCAUCUGUGACCUAUACCACAGCUCACAACAAUGCUGGAUCCUUAACCCACUGAGCGAAGCCAGGGAUCAAACCCGCAUCCUCAUGGAUCCUAGUCGGGUUUGUUAACCCCUGAGCUAUGACGGGAGCUGCCUAUGGUCAUUUUUGCUAGGUGCUCCUAGUGCAUUUACAAUAAUGUGAAUUCUUUCACUGUUGGGUGCACUGUUCUACAUAUGCUGUAUUGUUUUAUAUCUCCUUCAUUCUUCCUUCUUUUCUGUAUGCUUUGUCAGCAUGCUAUCAGAUGUGUUAAAGUUCCCCAUUUUAAUAGUGAUUUUUGUCUAUUUCUUCUUUUCACUCUUCCAAGUAUAUUUCAAAGCUAUGAUUUGUUUUUCCUUAUCUUCUUUUUACCGCUACACCCGCUGCAUAGUUCCCAGGCUAGGGGUUGAAUUGGAGCUGCAGCUGCAGGCAUACACCACAGUCAUGGCAACAUGGGAUCUGAGGUGCAUCUGUGACCUCCACCACAGCUUGCACCAAUGCCAGAUCCUUAACCCAGUGAGUGAGGCCAGGGACCGAAUCCACAUCCUCAUCCUCGUGGAGACGACCUCAGGUCCUUAACCCACUGAGCCACAACGGGAACUCCUCAAAGCUAUGUUCUGAUAUCUUUCUUGGAUUUUGAUAUCUAUAAUAUUUUUUAUUAAGGAUUUAUCCCAUUAUAAUCAUGAAAAUUCUCUCGUUAACUCAAUUGGGGUAUCUUGCCUUAAAGUAUACUUUCUGUGACAUUGAUACAGUUUUCUAAAGAUUAGUGUUUACAUAGUACAUACAUUGUCUUCCAUCAUUUUACUUUCAAACUUUCUUUAUCCUCAUAUAGGCACUGAGUAUCCUGCAAGGAGUAUUUAGGUGAAUUUUGUUGCUUUAUCUACAUGGGCUUUUAUUUGAAGUAUCUAAUCCACUUCCUGUAAAUACAAUACUGAUACUGUUGGGCUAGUAUCUACACUUUACUUUUAAUUGACCCAUCUGCAUUAUGUUCUCUUUUUCUCUUCUUCUGAGUAUUCUUUUGUAUUAAACAAGCUGUUAGUAUUCCAGAUUUUCCUUUUCUUUUUUGAUUUUCAUCAGCUUUACUAGGUGUGGGACUUUUCACACCCUUCCAUCCAUUUUUUAAAAUUCUCUAGCAUUGUAUCUUCAAACAGUACUUCUUCUGCUCUGUCUCCGUUUAUCCUUUCUUUCUUUCUUUUUUUUUUUUUUUUCUCCACACCUGUGGCAUAUGGGAGUUCCCAGACCAGGGGUCAAAUCUGAGCCUCAGCUCUGACCUGCACCACAGCUGAGGCAACACUAGAUCCUUAACCCACUGUGCCUGGCCAGGGAUCGAUCCAGCACCUCCAUAGCAACCAGAGCUGCUGCAGUGGGAUCCUCAACCAAGUGUGCCAAGGUGGGAACUCCU
ensembl:lncRNA